rnacentral:tRNA from 1 species
CGGACAGGCCGACAAAGUAUCAGUGGCGGCCGCUUGAAUGGGGUUCAAGAGGUCACAGGUUCAAGUCCUGUCGCCCCGA